CCUACGGGUGGCAGCAGUGGGGAAUAUUGGUCAAUGGGCGCAAGCCUGACCCAGCAACGCCGCGUGAAGGAAGAAGGCCUUCUGGUUGUAAACUUCUUUUCUCAGGGACGAAGCAAGUGACGUUAACUGAGGAAUAAGCCACGUCUAACUACGUGCCAGCAGCAGCUGUAAUACGUAGGUGGCAAGCGUUAUCCGGAUUUACUGGGUGUAAAGGGCGUGUAGGCGGGACUGCAAGUCAGAUGUUAAAACCAUGGGCUCAACCUAUGGCCUGCAUUUGAAACUGUAGUUCUUGAGUACUGGAGAGGCAGACGGAAUUCCUGGUGUAGCGGUGAAAUGCGUAGAUAUUAGGAGGAACACCAGUGGCGAAGGCGGUCUGCUGGACAGCAACUGACGCUGAGGCGCGAAAGCGUGGGGAGCAAACAGGAUUAGAUACCCCGGUAGUC
rnacentral:rRNA from 1 species